GGUGGAACCUUUUCUUUUUGUGGCCAGAGUUGACCUUUCCCAGAGAUGAGAGAGAAAAACCAACUGGAGAUUUGAAGGAGGAGUCUAGAUGGUGCCUUGACCUGAGAACAGUGGAGCUGAGAAAUUGUUACUAAAAGGAUGGUCUGGCUUCCCACGUGCAGUGACCUCUGCCACUUACUCUC